UAAGUUCGUUUGUUGUUUUUACUUUCUAAUAUCUUAUGCUAAUUUUUACUAUCGCAUUAAUGCAAGUUUGUCGUAAAUUCAACUUAGGGUUUUGGUUUUUUUCUUGUCUCUCUCUGUGAUUGCAAAAUGCUUGUUAUGUAACCCUAGAUCUGUUCAACAUUAAUCUUCACUGUCAUUGUCUUCGGUUUAGUUAAAUUUUAUACAUUUUUUCUUUGGUUGUAUUCUGUUAGUGUGCAAUUAUAAGGCCUAGGGACUUUGCCUAUCUGACUAAGGCUCAAUCCGGACAUUCAGUCCGGCCGCUGAGAUAGCAUCGGUGGAUCAAGAAUCACCAACGUAAUAAUUUCUGGUUGACAAUGUUCCCAGAAAAAGAUAUUUUCGGGAAACAUACGCUUUUGUGUCAUUUAGAUAUAGUUUUACACUAGUGUGGAUUGAUCAUUUGUUCAAGUUGGGGGACUAUGAUCCUGAGCUGCUUUCAAUGAAACUUGUCAAUAAUGUUUUACCUUUUUUUUUUUUUAACCUAAGCAAGCAAACUUCAUUAAAAUAAAAGAUGAUACAAGUUAGAGAGGGUGGGGUUCCCUAACAAAACAUCCCAAAACAACAACCACAAUGCAAAAGAUGUGUGAAAAAAAAAAAAAAAAAAAGGUUUUGAGACCAAUUUUGUGGUCUCUACCCAAGCCUUAUAAAGAUGAUACCGUCUUAAAACACGUUUUGAAGGUAAACCACCGUUAGAGGUGGUGCAAGUGGAAGCACUGUAGUUGAAAGUCUUGACGUAUUUGUUGGUGAGGUUCUUAAUUUUUUCACAAGAUUACCUGUUAUGGAAAGCAAUAACUCGGAUAGACUGGCAUUGGAAGGGUAGAUAUGCAGUGACGGAAUAGCCAACUUGCGCCUCUGGAGUGGCACGUGAGGACCAUGCGCUAGUGGAAUGGUCAUGUCGAUUUGAAGGAUUGGAGGGUGGGGAGUUUGCUAUUAUGGCGCGUGUAGCCGAUGGAGCUGUCAGAGCGUGGCGGCCGGUGAAUGCCAUGAGCGGAAACAAGCAGUGCGUGAGGGUCACGUGCAGACAUUUUGGACACGGUUCCACGUUGUCCCAAUAGAUCGGCCGGAGAGGAACAUUGUAGUGGGGCGUGUGUCAACUGUUUAUGGUCAGAGAACUGCAGAUCUGAGAAAAUCCGAAUUGGUGGAAAAAUACUACCAUAGAAGCAUACACACAAAAAGGUAGUGGAAGGAAGAAAAAAAUGAAAAGGAAAUGGAGAGAAAAGCGAAGUUGAGACUCACACCUUCCUCUCCUGCAACAUCACUCGAAAGGAUCGGUUUAAUUUCUAGAGAGAAAGCAGAGCUUCUUUGUCUAGAGGAGAAGAAGAACGGUCUCGUCAAUAAUGUUUUACUUACCUUAAAAUCUCACCCUGGUACUUGGGGAGCUUGCACGUGUUGAUGGGGGCUCACCCCACCCAUGAGAUUUGCCUCACUAGUGGAGGGUAUAUAUAAAGACUAACUUUUUGAGGAAAAUACUUAGAGACCUGCCAGUAUGUAUUUGUAACACUAUUUGAUCCAUUUGGUGGGCAAAGUUUGUUGAAGAUUUUAUGAAUGCUGGUGAUGGUAGGAUUCAUGUUACCCUAUUACUGGGUACAGCAUUGUGAUGGUCUUCACUUAGAAGGGCAAGUUUCUCGUUUGCAUUAGCCCUAUUCCCUAAUUUCAAUUGGUUGGUUUGUUCAAUUACAUCUAAGCACCUUUCUCUCUGUUAGGCCCAUAAAAAUCAACUCCUUGACCCUUUAUUUUUUGAGAAAUUUCACUCCUUGACUUGAGCUUGUCAUCACUUCAUUCCUUGAAUCGAGCAUCUAAAGAAUAAAUAAACGACAACAUGAAACCUAUCACGUGUAUGUGUUCAAUACAGAAACAUGCCUAAAUAUCUUUGGCCAAACAGUAGUGAUUGGAAAAAUAGUGGUGCAACUGUUGCAAGAGAGUCAGUUUGAUGAUUAGAACAUUUACAUACCGGGAGAUAUGUCAGUCAAAGUUGUCUUAAAAAAACUGUCUAGCAUCUCUUACAAACAAUGUAAUUAGUCAUGAACUUCACCUCCACCAGCUGAAAUGAGUUCUUUCAAGAAUUGCCGAUGUACAUGAAUUUCCCUGAUUCAACCGUAGAGUGACAAAGUUGUUCACAGAGAGUGAAAUAGCUGCCAUGGGACUUUUGUUUCCAUCUAUGGUGAGAUUUGCUGAGUAUCUUCAAUAGGAGAUGACCCGAAACAGAGUACUGCUGAUAUGACAGCUUUUUUGAUGAGAUGGGUAACAGGAUAGAUGAGUUAGAGCAUAGCAUCGAUGAGCUCAAAGCAGCAAUUGGAGUGGAGGGCUCGCCUUCUUCUUCAAUCCCUUUCAAGCCGAAGCUAGAAUCCACGGGAUGAUACAGCAUAGUACGAUUUCUUUGUUUUUGAUUUUCUGAUUUGAAAAAGGGAUUUGAUAUAACUAAUUUGAGAAUAUGUAAACGUUCUGUGGAUUUGUAAUUCCUGCUGCUUUCUACUUUCACAUGCUGUGGAACUGAAAGAAGUCGAAGAUCUUCCCAAAUUUUUCAAUGCUGAUAUAUCUGGCCUUUUAA